rfam:Hordeum vulgare subsp. vulgare, WGS project CAJW01000000 data, contig: morex_contig_67129
GUAAUACUCCCUCCGUCCGGAAAUACUUGUCACAGGAAUGGAUGUAUCUAGAUGUAUUUUAGUUCUAGAUACAUCCAGUUUUAUACAUUUGCGCGACAAGUAAUUCCGGACGGAGGGAGUAGUAA